UGUGUUUUCUUGUCUGUUGAUCCGUUUCCUCCUCUGGAUAACCUGUGAGCUACACUGUUAAUGCCCGUGUCCGUAGGUGGGGCGAGUAGGCUUGUCCGUCAAUGCCAACCUCACGUAAAUAGAAACUGUUGAUCAUUUUCGAACCUGAAGGAUCCUAAAGCCAUGAUUUCCACCUUUGAGAGACAUCGGCGUGUGGGGCAUGACUUGUCCAGAGCGUCACAUUCUUGAGUGAAAGCCGAAGUCGCCAGUGAUCUCAACACACAACACUUCAGUAGCUUCCAUUUAGUCUUUUUUUUUUUUUUCUCCUUGGGUAUAGGAGGGGAAAGGGGGUGUGGGCGAGUCCUGCUGAAUCUUCUGUCUUAAUAAAGUACUUUUCUGUGUUAUUCCAAA